CCGUGCUAGACGGGGAAGUAGCGGAGCCCUGUAACCCGCAAUCCGCUCCAGCGGGGUUGAAUUCCUUCCCGAGGCUGUUGUACUGUAGGGUCUGCCUCAAGUAAGUGGUGUUGACAUCUGGGUCCUGCGCAAUGGGAAUCUAUGAACCAUGUCAGGUCCGGAAGGAAGCAGCAUUAAGUGGAAUCUCUCAUGUGCCGCAGGGUAGCCUGGAUUGAGCUAACUGCUUGAGUAACGCUUAUGGUACACAGUCAGAGGAAGGUGUGCGG
rnacentral:SRP_RNA from 1 species